AAAUGCUAUAAGUAAUGUGAAUUGCAGAAUUCAGUGAAUCAUCGAAUCUUUGAACGCACCUUGCGCUCCUUGGUAUUCCUUGGAGCAUGCCUGUUUGAGUAUCAUGAAAUCUUCAAAGUAAAUCUUUUGUUAACUCAAUUGGUUUCUACUUUGGUAUUGGAGGUCUUUGCAGCUUCACACCUGCUCCUCUUUGUUCAUUAGCUGGAUCUCAGUGUUAUGCUUGGUACCACUCGGCGUGAUAAGUUAUCUAUCGCUGAGGACACUGUAAAAGGUGGCCAAGGUAAAUGCAGAUGAACCGCUUCUAAUAGUCCAUUGACUUGGACAAUACUUUUAUGAUCUGAUCUCAAAUCAGGUAGGACUACCCGCUGAACUUAAGC
rnacentral:misc_RNA from 1 species